rnacentral:rRNA from 1 species
GUGGGGAAUCUUGCACAAUGGAGGAAACUCUGAUGCAGCGACGCCGCGUGAGCGAUGAAGCCCUUCGGGGUGUAAAGCUCUUUCGACGGGAACGAUAAUGACGGUACCCGAAGAAGAAGCUGCGGCUAACUACGUGCCAGCAGCCGCGGUAAUACGUAGGCAGCAAGCGUUGUUCGGAAUUACUGGGCGUAAAGAGUGUGUAGGCGGUGUUCUAAGUCUGUUGUGAAAUCUCCCGGCUUAACUGGGAGGGUGCGGCGGAAACUGGAAUGCUAGAGGAUGGGAGAGGUAAGCGGAAUUCCUGGUGUAGCGGUGAAAUGCGUAGAUAUCAGGAGGAACACCUGUGGUGUAGACAGCUUACUGGACCAUUUCUGACGCUGAGACACGAAAGCGUGGGUAGCAAACAGGAUUAGAUACCCCAGUAGUCC